rnacentral:misc_RNA from 1 species
GAUGAAGAACGUAGCGAAAUGCGAUAAGUAAUGUGAAUUGCAGAAUUCAGUGAAUCAUCGAAUCUUUGAACGCACCUUGCACCCUUUGGCAUUCCGAAGGGUAUGCUCGUUUGAGUGUCAUUGUACUCUCACACUCUCCGAUCCUAUGGAUUCGGGGAGCGGUGGACUUUGGUGUUGCUGCCUUUCCUUGUGGCUCACCUCAAAUGUGUCAGUGCACCUCUUGGUUGGACAUAGUACGGCGUGAUAAGUGUCUUCGCCGGCACCUCGCAAGAGGGUGGCCGAUCGGGAGCUCUGUGCUUUCAAACCGUCUUCGGACAAUUUCUGACAACUUGACCUCAAAUCGAGUAGGACUACCCGCUGAACUUAAGCAUAUCAAUAAGCGGAGGA